UGAGAACUUAGUGUUAUUGGUGCUGAGUUGAUGAACUUGGUCACAGGUAACUUGAUUUGUACAAGGGACCAAAGGGGAUCCUCAGUUGUCCAGGCCUACUGUUUUAAGUAGUACAGAAACAUGAGAGAGAUCCUAUUCAUCUGUUCCUCUUUGUGUAAAAUAAGGCUAACCUGCAGGAAAAAUGCAGAUGUAAAUGAACAUGGGCAUGAUAUCCGGAAGAAUGGUUAUGCAAGACUCUCUCCAUACGUUGGGUGCUGAUUAAAAUGACCAUUGGAAGAGUGUAAACCUUGAGAUCUCUACAAUCCUGUGCCAAGUAGUGGGCAUAGAUCAGAUAUCAGAGGACUGACUUCGAGUAAAUGAAUUCCACUUAAGCAUUUCUAAGGCCUGGUCUACAGUACACGGUUAUUUUGGAAUUAGCAGAGUUAAUUCGAAAUAAAAUUGAUUCCGUCCACAUGACCAAACCAGUUUUUUGAUUUAAAGGGCUCUUUAAUCUGAUUUCUGUACUCUACCUCGGAGUUGUGCUAAAAUAGAGAUCGCAAUUCCGGGUUACAGGUACUGUGGACACAAUUUGACGUUAUUGGCCUCCGGAUCUAUCCCAGAAUGCUCCUGUGUGACUGCUCUGGACAGCACUCUCAAUUCUGAUGCACUAGCCAGGUGCAAGUGUUUCAACAUGGCCCCUACCUACUCCAUCCCAGAGGCUGGCCCAGAUUAGAAGGCAGAAAAAAUGAACUCGGGACGACAUGUUUGCCAAGCUCAUGCAGUCCUCCCGCACUGAUGGGGACCAGCUGAAUGCAUUGAGGCAAACAAUUGUGGAGUCCUUUGAAGCGUUAAAUGAACAUGAAGAGAGGAGGGAUGCACAUGAUGAGAGCAGGCAGGAUGCUAUGGCCAAGCUCAUGGGGGAGUAAACUGACAUGCUCUGCUGUAUGGUGGAUCUAAUGCAGAAAAGGCAGCAAGACCACAGACUGCCACUGCAGCCCCUGUAUAACUGCCCUCCCUCCUCCGAGUUCCAUAGCCUCCUUACCCAAAUGUGCAAGAACACAGGGUUGGGGGGGAGACUACGGGGACCCAAACAUAGAACCCCAGAGGAUUGCACAAGCAGCAGAAAGCUGGCAUAUCUGAAAUUUUGAUUUGGUUUCUGGACUUGUCCUUCCCUCCUCCACCCAGCACCCCCCCUCUUCCCCGGUCUACCUUCUGAUUUCUCUCAAUCUGUUAAAAAAUAAUAAAGAACGUUUUUUAAACAAUUGUGACUUUAUUUCCUUUUAUUUAUAUAUAUAUAUAUAGGGGGUGGGUAACUUCAAGAGAAACACAACUGUCACCAUACCCUGGCCAGGCAAGAAACUGGCUUUCAAAGCUUCUGUGAUGCACCGCGCACCCUGCUGCGCUCUUUUAAUCGCCCUGUUGUCUGGCUGUGUGAAAUUGGCUGCCAGGCGAGUUGCCUCAACCUCCCACCCCACCAUAAAUGUCUUCCCCCUUACUCUCACAGAUAUUGUGGAGCACACAACAGGUAGCAGUUACGAUUGGAAUAUUGGUUGUACUGAGAUCUAACCAAGUCAGUAAACUGCGCCAGCGUGCUUUCACACGUCCAAAAGCACAUUCUACCACCAUUCUGCACUUGCUCAGCCUAUAAUUGAACUGCUCCUUACUACUGUCCAGGGUGCCUGUGUAUGGCUUCAUGAGCCAUGGCAUUAAGGGGUAGGCUGGGUCCCCAAGGAUAACUAUAGGCAUUUCAACAUCCCCCAACAGUAAUUUUCUGGUCUGGGAAGUAAGUCCUUUCCUGCAGCUGUUCAAACAGACCAGAGUUCCUGAAGAUGAGUCGUGCACCUUUCCCAGCCAUCCCAUGUUUAUAUUGGUGAAACGCCCUUUGUAAUCCACCAGUGCUUGCAGCACCAUGGAAAAGUACCUCUUACGGUUUAUGUACUGGCCGCCGUGGUGUUCCGGGGCCAAGAUAGGGAUAUGCUUUCCGUCUGUUGCCCCGCCGCAGUUAGGGAACCCCAGCGCAUUAAAGCCAUCCACAAUGGUCUGCACGUUUCCCAGUCACUACCCGUGAUAGUACUAGUCAGUGGUUUCAUUGGCUACUUGCAGCACAGCAGCCCCCACAGUAGAUUUGCCCACUCCAAACUGAUUCCAGACUGACCGAUAGCUGUCGGGCAUUGCAAGCUUCCACAGGGCUAUGGCCACUCGCUUCUCAACUGUGAGGGCUGCUCUCAUUUUGGUAUCCUUUUGUGCUUCAGGGCAGGGGACAGCAAGUUUCAAAGUUCCAUGAAAGUAGCCCUACACGUACGAAAGUUUUGCAGCCACUGGGAAUCAUUCCAUAUCUGCAACACUAUGUGGUCUCACUAGUCUGUGCUUGUUUCCCGGGCCCAGAAUUGGCAUUCCACGGCAUGAACCUGGCCCAAUGCCACCACGAUCUCCCAAUCGCCACAUGCAGUGCUUCUAGGAACGUCUGCGUCCAUGUCUUCAUCACUAUCGUAAUCACGCUGUUGUAACUUCCUCGCCUGGUUUUGCAAGUACUGCACAUACUGAUGGAUAAUGUGCAAGGUAUUUACAAUGGUCAAAACUGCAGCGGAGAUCUGAGCGGGCUCCAUGCUUGCCGUGCUAUGGCAUCUGCACAUGUAAUCCUGGAAAAAGGGUGCAAAACAUAGGAGAGCAGAGUAGCAGCGGAAGAGGUGCUGUUCAGUUCACGGUAGCCAAAAAAAGGUGGGAAAUGGUUGUCUUCUAUAGCUUUCACAGAGGCGGGAGCCCAGGAUAGACAACAUGGAGAAGCUUGGUAGCACAGCAAGAGCGGGAGAGCAGAGUUGGCAGCAGAGCUGUGCUGCUUGGUUCAUGAUGGCCAAGCAGAGUUGGCAGCAGAAAAGAGAGAGAGUAGAUACUUAGAGAUUACAUGAAAGACUAGAGGAAAUGCAAGGUCGAUUCAUAGUACCAGGAGAGAAGCAGUGCACCGUACUGCACGGUCUGCUGAAAGCAGUGGGGCGUCCGCAUUCCAAAAAGGUGCAAAACGAUUGUCUGCCGUAGCUUUCACGGCGGGAGGAGCGACUGACGACACACCCAGAAACACUCGUGAGAAUGUUUUUGCCCCAUCAUGCACUGGGUGCUUAACCCAGAAUUCCAAUGGGCGGUGGGAACUGUGGGAUAGUUACCCACAGUGCACCGCUCUGACAUUCGAUGCUAGCCUCGGUACUGUGGAUGCACUCGGCCGAAUUCACGCACUUUAUAAAAGCGCUUCUGAAAAUUCGAAUAGAAUAGUUUCAAAAUUUCAUACUGUAGAUGUACCCUAAAACAGUGAGCAUAAUGUGUAAUCCGUUUGCACUUGUGCUAAGCAGGUUUGUACCAUUCAGAUUUGAUAGCUGUGACCGGGGCUCCUAGGGGAGCCAGCUGAGGUCACUCAAUUAGGGUGAACUGCAAAGAAUGGGGCGGACAAUCCCCAAAGCCUGUGGAUAUUCCAAUACUUAGAUUUACCAAGCCACCAAAAGAGCUUCUUUAUUACCUCACUGGUUGCCCAGAAGCCAACACAGUUCCCUUAAAGUAACCCAGCCUCAGGCCUUCACCCAGAUACCCAAGUCAAGGAUGAUGAAGAUUACUGAAAAUCCUUUUAGUUUUAUAAAAGAAAAGGUUCUGCCAAUCCCAAAGGAUCAGACACAUUACCUCCCAGGUUAAUGAGUAUUCCAGAUCUUACCCAAAUACACACUUACAGCCAAUUCUUAUUAACUAAACUAAAAUUUAUUGAGAGUAUAGUUAAAAGAUUACUCUACAGGCAGACAUGAGUUCAGUUCUUGAGGUUCAGGUUCAUGGCCUAGAUGAUGAGCUUUGUAGUUGCAAAGAGUUUUUAGAAUUUAGUCCAUAGGUUAUAGUCCAGUAUCCAAUAUCUUAUUCAGGAUGUUCCAGAUUAACUGGGAUCUCAAUCUUGCAACUCAGACUUCCCCUGAUGAAGCUUAAGCAGAUCUGAGAUAAAAAGGAUUGGGAUCCAAACAUCUUUUAUACAAUUCAGGCCGCCUUUGACAGGUUGGAGUCCCUCAGUGAACAAUAGGCCCUCAUUUCCUAAGCAUCACCUGGAGAUUAUUCACACAGAUUAACACAAUUGCCUGUUUUUCCACCAUUUGUGGAUGAUUUGCUGUACACUUCAGAGAGAUGAAUACAGCAAUUUCCUAUGUUUACAGUUCACCUGAUCUCUGAAUUAACAGAAUACAGGGACUGUUUGAUUAUAUUAUUGACCUUUACCAAUAUAUAUGUAAAUACACAAAAACACAAACGUUAUCUCCCCAUGUUUUUAAGGGUUGAAUUUGAGUCCUUCAUCCUGAAGGACACUUAACCCUUUCUGGUCAUGCGUCACAAUAGCAUUUUACAACCACUCUGCACAGAUGUAAAUGAGUAUAGUAGGUGUAAGGCAGUGAAGAAUCAGGAAUGGGGGUUCUGAGGGUUUGAGUAAAAUCCUCAUUUAACCCUAUGUGAUUGCAUGCUGCUGCAGGCACAGCCACAAAAACACUACUGAGCAGGAGCACAAUAUGAAGUAGGUGGCAGGUGAGGCAUACAUUUUUGUUUCUAAGGGGCUCAAAGUGCAAAUUACGAAAGGCCUUAUAGUUACAAUUUGUGCCCACUUGAGUGUGGAGUGGGUUUCUGCAACUACUUUAUGCCGAUGAGUUGGGGUGUGUGUGUAAGAGUAAGAAUUACGAUAAUGAAACACUGAGAUCAAUAAAGGCUGGAUUUAAAAGGGGUCCUGUCCUAAUCUGAGCCAGAAACUGACCCGCCUCUAAAACCGUUAAUCUGAAUGCCUUAAAUCAUGAAUCCCCUUUCUUGGCAGGUGGGAGGAACCAGACUAGCACUCAUUUUCGGGUAAUACCAGAUACAAUUGGUGCCCUAGAAGUGCUGGGUCUCUGCUGUCUGGCAUCCUUGCAAGUCUGGUGACAGUGCAUGGACUUGUCAUGUUUAAUAGAGCAGAGGACAAGAAUCUAGUUGCUAAUGAAUAGGAAUGGUCAGAUGUGUUAAGUGCAGUAUGUAUAUUCUGCUAUGUUUAAAGUGCUGAACAAAUACUUAUGUUCUCCUGUGAGGUAUUCAGCUAAGAUUAAAAAGCUAAGUGACUUGCCCAUGGCAGGCAGUAAAUCAGUGGCAGAGCUGCUGUGGGAGCAAGAAUUGCUCUAGUACAGUGGUUUUCAAACUGGGGUACCCGAGCUCUCGGCAGGGAGUAUGCAAGAAAAAUCCUGUAAUGGUGGAAAACACAUUUUAUUUAGUAAGACUUGGCAAUCUAAUCAUAGGUAUAUUAUGACCCUAUCUCGGAUGGGGGUAUGCGGUAGAAAAAAUUAAAAACCACUGCUCUAGUGCCAUAUUCAGUCUACUAAAAUUUGUCAGUUAUAGAUAUUUUUACAUCUCGAUAGAGCAGAGCUGCACUUAAGCAGAGUUAUUUCACCUUGAUUUCCUCUGUACUACUGUCUUUAGUGUUAAGAAGAUUUAAUGCUUGGUCUAAAGCAUUAAAACAAUGGCAACACAAGACUCAUCUCUUCUGAAUCUUCAGGAUCUAGUCUAAACUUAAAUACAGGUAUGAUUGGAAGUUUAUUAAGUCAGACGAUUGCUAACAUGUUUCAAACUUGAAAUUGUAGUCUGUUUGUCUUGAUGAUGUCCUGUGGUUGCAAUACAGAUAUCCAAGGGCUGCAGUACAUCUUCCUUUUCAGCAUGUAUUUUGCACAUUUCCCUGUAGUAGUCAUAGUAGAAUAAAGUACAUGUAGUACUCAGAACCCGAGAGACAAACUCCUAUUUCAUAGGAGAUGGGAACGUGCUCUUCCCCCUAAAAAACUAGCUUUUUAAAGAACCUAUUAGUUAACCUAGUAAAAUAUUUUCACUUUUGUUGUUCAUGCUUGUAAAGCUACUCGUAGUUCGUAUGUUGAACAAACAUCUGACUCAGUUUUUAUUUAAGCAAUUAUAUAGUUUAACUUACAUUUUAAGCUAACCUUCAAAGCCCUGCCUGGAUUUGCCAGUGGAGAAGCUGCUUGACUAGGCCUGGACGUAAGAAUGAAACAUGGUUAGAGAUUAAUGUGUAGCUGCAGGGAGCUGCUAUGUGCAUGGGGGAGACUUCUCCCAUUUCAUUCUGCAACAGUCGCUUGUCAAUUGCAGGAACAGCAGUGGUUUUCCCAAGCAGGAACAACUGAGGCAAACUUACAGGAGUUGCCUGUGUUCCAUUCUGCUGUGGCAAAGCUGGGGAUGUUAUAGAUAGCACAAUAACAAAGCAGAAAGUGUCAAAUACCAGGAAUGGAGAAAGAUGAGCAGAGUGGGCUGGAGGGAAAUGAAGAUGGAAAUAGCCCCAGUAAACCAAAGCAGCUUCAAAUUUACCUGGCACCUACGAGCCAGAAGUAAAGUUCUGAAAUGGGAAGAGGAAGGUGGAUGAUCAGGAUUUAUGCAUUGAGCUUAUCACCAGGUUGCUGUCCUUGCACUCUACUGAGGUAAACUGUCAUACUUGCCUCCCGCUUAGGCCUUGUCUACACUGAAAACUUAGGUCAACAUAGCUGUGGUGUAAAAAAUUGACAUCCCUGAGCACCUUAGCUAUGUCGACCUAACCCGUAGUGCAAACAUAGCUAGGUCAAUGAGAGAAUGCAUAAGAACAGCCAUAUGGGCCAGAUCAAUGGUCCAUCUAGAUCAGUAUCCUGUCUUCAGACAGUGGCUGGUGCCAGAUGCUUCAGAGGGAGUGAAUAGGACGGGGCAGUUGAUCGAGUGAUUCAUCACCUGUUGGCCAGUCCCAGCUUCUAGCAGUCACAGGUUUAGGGACACCCAGAAAAUGAGAUUUUCCUUGACCAUCUUUGCUAGUAGCCGUUAAUGGACCUAUCCUCCAUGCUUCCAUUGACCUAGCUAUUGUUGCAUGAGGAGCCAUUGUUUCUACAGCAACAGAAAACACCUUUUGUCGCUGUAGGCUGUGUCCACACUACAGGAUUAUGCCAGUGUAGUUGUGCUGUAGCUAUGCUGCUAUAGUCCAUGUAAUGUAGACGUGGCCUUAGAUGUCUAAACUUUUCAAGCUCUAGAGGAGAGUGCUACUGUUCAUUAACCUUUUAAGGACUGUUAAUGCUCUGAUGGAAGAUACCAUUUUACAAAUGUUAGAAUUGGGCAUAAGGGUAGACAGGGAAAGUGCUAAUAUCUUAAUGCUAGACAGGGUGGAUUAAAAGCUUAUUUUUUAAAAAGAUACACAGUAGUAACUUUAGGCUUUAACAUAUGCUAUCACAAUAUAUUAAAAGCAUGUAACUUAAAUU